GACGAACGCUGGCGGCGUGCUUAACACAUGCCAGUCGAACGGAAAGGCCCUGCUUUUGUGGGGUGCUCGAGUGGCGAACGGGUGAGUCACACGUGAGUAACCUGCCCUUGACUUUGGGAUAACUUCAGGAAACUGGGGCUAAUACCGGAUAGGAGCCCCUGCUGCAUGGUGGGGGUUGGAAAGUUUCGGCGGUUGGGGAUGGACUCGCGGCUUAUCAGCUUGCUGGUGGGGUAGUGGCUUACCAAGGCUUUGACGGGUAGCCGGCCUGAGAGGGUGACCGGCCAAAUUGGGACGGAGCUGCGACCCGGACUCCAACGGGAGGGAGCGGAGGGGUAUAUUGCACUAUGGGCGGAGGGCUAGUGCAGCAAAGCCGCGUGGGGGAUGACGGCCAUCGGGUUGUGUUCCGCUUUCGCUUGUGACGAGGCGUUAGUGACGGUAAUGGGUAAAUAAGCACCGGCUAACUACGUG
rnacentral:rRNA from 1 species